CGCCGCCGCCCCCGCUCUCACCCCCAACCACCCCACCGUCGUCCCUUCCAAACCAUAAUCCUUGCCGGCACGUUCCCUCCAUCCCUGUGUGCCGCCGUCCCUACCUCUGUUCCUCCACUCACCUGCGCCCGACCUAGUCAUCUCCGGAUCUGGCUGCACACUGGUCAUCGGUGCUGCCGGAUCUGGCCGCUCCGGGCCUCAUCAACGCUGCCCCGGUUGUUCACCUCUCCACCACCUCUCCCCUCAUCGUCAUCCCAUCCGCCUCGCCCAGAUCCGUGAGAGGGUAAGACCGGGUGAGUAGCUGUCUGUCUCCUGACGAGCUCGUCCCCAAACGGCCUCUCCAUGGAUUCCCUCCACCACACUCCCAACGCCACUGCAUUCAGAACACGGUCCGGACUCCUAAACUUUUGGAGGAAGCACCAGAUCAUAGACCGUGGCAUCGAGUAAAAGUAGAUCGACCGCGAGCUGCAUCGACAUCGAGGGUUCCUCUUCUUCACGGGGCCUGCACCUUCUGGUGGUGCAGGCAUGCAGCACCAGCUGCUGUGGAGGACGGAUGGCGCAGUGUUGAUAGGGCUGCUCCACUCCUGCUGCACCACAACAUCCUCUACAGUCGCCACCGGUCUCACCACAACGCCUCUAUCAUCAUCGAGCUCAUCACCUGUAU
rnacentral:rRNA from 1 species